UUGAAUUGAAGAGUUUGAUCAUGGCUCAGAUUGAACGCUGGCGGCAGGCCUAACACAUGCAAGUCGGGCGGUAACAGGAAAGCGCUUGCGCUUUUGCUGACGAGCGG
rnacentral:rRNA from 3 species